rnacentral:rRNA from 1 species
UACAGAAGGGGCAAGCGUUGUUCGGAAUUACUGGGCGUAAAGGGCGCGUAGGCGGCCUGCUAAGUCGAACGUGAAAUCCCCGGGCUCAACCCGGGAACUGCGUCCGAUACUGGCAGGCUUGAAUUCGGGAGAGGGAUGCGGAAUUCCAGGUGUAGCGGUGAAAUGCGUAGAUAUCUGGAGGAACACCGGUGGCGAAGGCGGCUUCCUGGACAUUGACUGACGCUGAGACGCGAAAGCGUGGGGAGCAAACAGG